CGCGUAGGCGGUCUCUAAAGUCAGAUGUGAAAGCCCGGGGCUUAACCCCGGAAGUGCAUUUGAAACUUAGGGACUUGAGUAUGGGAGAGGGAAGUGGAAUUCCUGGUGUAGCGGUGAAAUGCGUAGAUAUUGGGAAGAACACCAGUAGCGAAGGCGGCUACCUGGCUCGCAACUGACGCUAAUGCGCGAAAGCGUGGGGAGCAAACA
rnacentral:rRNA from 1 species